UUGGCCUCGCUGUCUCAGUGUGACCUGAACCUAUUGGCUUAACCAUGGGAGUUCCAGGGUGCUGGCUGUCAGGUGGUGGCACUCGUCCCAGAGUGUAAGGUUGAAGUGAGAACAUAGGAAGCCGGGUUGAGAUGUUUCGGUUAUCACACACAUGCAAAGGGCUGGGCCGCGCACCUCUUCCUCCUGAGCGCGUGGUUCUCGCUUCUCCAGCCUGAGGUCUGAUCCUUUCCCUGGCUCCUUGUUACUCUGUCCCCAGCCUUACUGGCCUUCCUUUAGACUGUAGAAUGAACUGUGCUCUUUCCUUCCUUGGUCCCCUGUUCCUGCACUGCCCUUCUAUCCUCUGUAUGUCUGGCCGGGAGAGCUCAGCCCAGGCACCCCUCCUCAGGGCAGCCCUUGGUGAUCCUCCAAAUGGGCCAACUCUUCUUUGUAGCCACAUGAGCCAAAGCACGCCUUCCUCACUGUGCUCACCUCCACUGCCGUUUACAUGCAUUUGUACGUCCCCUGUCUCAUGGGGGCAUGUCCUGAGGACAGUCAGGCAGCCCUACCACAAGGCUCCCCAGGAGGAACUGAACCCUUAGCUGGUUCCCACCCACAGCCAUGUGACUGAGCCACCUUGAAGAGUAUCCUCCAGCUGUGUCAAGCCCUCAGAUGGCUGCAGCUGGAGGUAUUGGGCCAGAGCCACCCAGCCAAGCCACUCCACCUCCUGACCCUGGGACUCAAGAGCCAAUAUGUGAUGACUGCUGCUUCCAGCAGUAGGUUUGGGGUAUUUGUUACACCAAAUAGACAACUAGUGCAGAUCCAGGUGCCUGGAAGUGGGGUGCUACCAUGACAAAUGUGGGGGUGGCUUUGGGACUGGACAUGGGCAGAGCUGGAGGGAAAGGCGUUUGAAAACUUAAAGGGAGUGUUUUAGUCAGCUGUUUUUUGCUGCUGUGACUUAAAGACCUGAGCAGAACAAUUAUAGAGGAAGAAAGGUUUAUUUAGGAGCCCACGGUUUCAGAGGUCUAAAUCCAUAGACAGCAGGCUCCCUUCCUCAGGGCUCGAGGUGAGGCAGAAUAUCAUGGCAGAGGGAAACAGCUCACAUGUUGAUCAGGAAGCAGAGAAGGUCUCCCAUCGUCAGAGACAAGUAUAUACCCCAAAGCGACGCCACCAGUGAACCACUUCCUCCAGCCACACCUCACCUGCCUCCAGUUACCACCCAGUUAAUCCCAUCAGGGGGGUCAAUACACUGAUUAGGUUAAGGAUGUAACCCAGCCAUUUCUCCUUCAAACCUUCUUGCAUUGUCUCACAUGUGAGCUUUUGGAGGACACCACAUCUAAACCAUAGCAGGGAGUUCAAGAGACUCUGAUGACCUCCUUGAACAUCAGUAAGAACAGAAAAGAAAGUGAGGACAUGUUAUUGGAAAAUGGAGGACAAAGGUUCUUUAGUAUGCUAUCAUAAAAAGUUCAGCAGUGCUGCCACUUGUAACCUGGAACCCAGAGCAUGCUCCUAAUGAACUGGUGACCAGGCGUGGAGUUUCAGGCAGUGUUGGAGUAUCAUUACUGGGAAAUAGUGGGACUGGAUUCUAACCAAGGAACUGUGGACAUCAGCUCUGCUGGAUUUCAGAAUUGCUGUGGACCAGGACUCCUGCAGACCUCCUGUUUCCCCCCUUUUUGAGCAAGGAGAGGGAAUCCAGAACAACUAUCCCACCAUCAAUUCCUAUCCCACCAUGGAAGCUGGGUGUGUGGGGUGCAGGUGAUUUGCCUCUUAAGCUGGGAGUCCUCAGUUUGAGAGAAACUAUCCUCAAGGCACCGCAGGCCCAUUGCUACCCCCAGAUGUGAUUUGGAUGAUGAGACCCUGAACCUGCAGCAUAUGUGGUUGGGAGCCAUCUUGGGAGCUUUGGAAGCCUCAGGAGUGCGGUAAUUGUAAUGUUGAAGGGAUGUAAGUUACUGGGGGCCAGAAGACCAUGAUUCCAAGUGUCUGAGAUGUCCCCAGUGAGCCCGCCUCAGGGUACGCAUUCCCUUUGUUGUUCCCUCCCACAGUGCAUUCAACCUUUGUGACCAACAGACUCUGUGGAGAUGGUGCAGCUGUGACUGCUGAGAUUGCUCAACAGCUGUGUUCAUGUUAGUCUCUUGGACGACUUGCCCAGGGAGACAUCAGCCACCAUGUCAGGAGGACACUCAAGCAGUGCACGAAGAGGAACUGAGGCCUCUAGCUGACAGCCAGAACCAACCUGCCAGCUGUGAGAAGGAGCCACUCUGGAAAUGGACUUUCCAUUCUCUACCCCCAAGGUCAAGCCCUCAGGGUCUGCCAUCUUGGCCAACAACGUAGCUUCCACCCCAUGAGAGACCCUGAGUCAGGACCUGUGGGGGAUCAAAAGUGACUGCCAUUGUUUUGGACCACUAGUUUGUUAGGCAACAGUAGAGGAUAGCAUAGGCCCCUUCUGCCAGUUUUCUCUUUUCCGGCCUUCUUUAUUUUGGUUCGGUUGGCUGGCCUUAGCCUUGUGUCCACACACCUGAGCAACCAGGAUGAGGGUAAGGUGAGGCAGGCACCCAGGCUUCCUUCAGUUUUAUGCCCUGGCUGCCUGAGCUUCUCACCCUCGUCUGGCCCUGUAUCUGACUUCUGCACAAUCCCAUAAAAGGCCAGUCCUGGUGACCUUGCCCUUGACCUAGCUGCCUGACUCUACUGCUGGUCCCUGUGCACCUGCCUUACUUCCUGUGGAGAAACCUGCAGGUUUUAUGGUUUAUUAGAGCUGAGGGUAAACCCCUGCUGUCCAUUAAGAAAGUAGGUGGAGAAACGGAGGGGUUGGCCACCACCAGUUGAGGACGCCCCACAUGGACCUCACCGUGGCCCUUGCACCAGCCCUGAGGAUUCCAGGGUCGUCUGGAGAUGGCUAUGGCACAUCCCAAGUGGACACUGCAUAGACGGAAUCAGGAGACAUAACUCGGCUUUGCUCCUGCCAGUGAAACAGUCACCUAGUGGAAAAGAAAAGCCCUCCACCACUGAAUCUAUAAUUGCACCGGAAACUGCCCAGCCCUUGGUGGAACAAUGAGGGAAAUCUCGUUACGGGUCUACCGGCCUGGGGCGAGCAGAAACAAAGAUGAGGAGACCACCAAGACCCUGGGAAGGGCAGAGUUGGAGAAGCUGGCAGGAAAGGGACUCAAACGGAAGCCUCCUGGCACCAAGCACAGAGCCCUUUCAUCAUGUGGCUUCCAGCAUCUCUCAGGGGAGGCAAAAAGGAGCAGUUGAUUCCAGUUACAAGCAAGUCGGAACUGAGGCAUGAACUGUGGGAGGUGAGGACAAAAUUUGUCUUUCAACAGAGUGAUAUUUCACAGUGUGCUUUUUCUGUACAUGGUAUGUAAGCCAACCUUAGUGCUCCCUCUGAGCUACCAUGCAUAUCCCUUUCUUCCCCU